AUUGAACGCUGGCGGCAGGCCUAACACAUGCAAGUCGAACGAGUGGCGGACGGGUGGGUAAUGUCUGGGAAACUGCCCGAAGGAGGGGGAUAAAUACUGGAAACGGUAGCUAAUACCGCAUACCAUCGGAUGUGCCCAAAUGGGAUUAGCUUGUAGGUGAGGUAACGGCUAACCUAGUCGACGAUCCCUAGCUGGUCUGAGAGGAUGACCAGCCACACUGGAACUGAGACACGGUCCAGACUCCUACGGGAGGCAGCAGUGGGGAAUAUUGGACAAUGGGCGCAAGCCUGAUGCAGCCAUGCCACGUGUAUGAAGAAGGCCUUCGGGUUGUAAAGUACUUUAAGCGGGGAGGCGUUACCCGCAGAAGAAGCACCGGCUAACUCCGUGCCAGCAGCCGCGGUAAUUC
rnacentral:rRNA from 1 species